rnacentral:rRNA from 1 species
UACGUAGGGUGCGAGCGUUGUCCGGAAUUAUUGGGCGUAAAGGGCUCGUAGGCGGUUUGUCGCGUCGGGAGUGAAAACUCAGGGCUUAACCCUGAGCCUGCUUCCGAUACGGGCAGACUAGAGUUCGGUAGGGGAGACUGGAAUUCCUGGUGUAGCGGUGAAAUGCGCAGAUAUCAGGAGGAACACCGGUGGCGAAGGCGGGUCUCUGGGCCGAUACUGACGCUGAGGAGCGAAAGCGUGGGGAGCGAACAGG